AUGGAAGCCUGCUUCAGCCACAGCCACCAGCCCGUGCCGUCUGGUCCCCUUUCCUCCCCACUGGGCCCCCGUCUAGCUGACCCUGGCCAGGUGCACUGUCCCGCCAGACACCGUCAGCUCCACGCAGUGCAGAGAACCUGGGGAGCCCUGGCCUGGUGGAGUCAAUACGCAUCACUGGAGCCCUCCCCCUGCCCAAGACUUUUUGAAGGGAAUUCCUUUGGGGAAAUUUCUGUCUCAAGCAAGAUUCCCGGACCACACAGAAGCUACAGCAUUGGUAAUUAUCUAAAGGCAAAGACUACCUGAAGGACAGAACUUUCUCCUUGCUUCUGAGUGACCCAUGGUCCAUGUCAGCGGAACCAUCUAGUGAGAAAUUCUAGGACAAUACAUGGAACUGUGCCCUAGGGAACUGGACAGACACCUCUCUUCAUGAAUAGCCUUUCUCCCAUUAACCCUAGUAGCACUUAGAGAAGCCUGUGACAAAAACCAGUGCCUUUUAAAAUGCCAAAAAGAACAUUAGCUGUUUUCUCCAUUAAGAACCAUUCCCUAUAUUGGUCCCUUCCUUUCAUGUCUUCUCCUCAUCCCCAACAUUUAGUAGAGGCUUAUACAGAUCAUCCUUUUACAAAGGCUGCAUCCCAAAGCCAGACUAGAAGUAGUGGUCUCUCCAUGGCUGACCUUGUGGGUUCUCUAUGUUGAAA
rnacentral:lncRNA from 1 species